rnacentral:rRNA from 1 species
AGACCCGAAACCCGGUGAUCUAGCCAUGGGCAGGUUGAAGGUUGGGUAACACUAACUGGAGGACCGAACCGACUAAUGUUGAAAAAUUAGCGGAUGACCUGUGGCUGGGGGUGAAAGGCCAAUCAAACCGGGAGAUAGCUGGUUCUCCCCGAAAGCUAUUUAGGUAGCGCCUCGUGAAUUCAUCUCCGGGGGUAGAGCACUGUUUCGGCUAGGGGGCCAUCCCGGCUUACCAACCCGAUGCAAACUGCGAAUACCGGAGAAUGUUAUCACGGGAGACACACGGCGGGUGCUAACGUCCGUCGUGAAGAGGGAAACAACCCAGACCGCCAGCUAAGGUCCCAAAGUCAUGGUUAAGUGGGAAACGAUGUGGGAAGGCCCAGACAGCCAGGAUGUUGGCUUAGAAGCAGCCAUCAUUUAAAGAAAGCGUAAUAGCUCACUGGUCGAGUCGGCCUGCGCGGAAGAUGUAACGGGGCUAAACCAUGCACCGAAGCUGCGGCAGCGACACUGUGUGUUGUUGGGUAGGGGAGCGUUCUGUAAGCCUGUGAAGGUGGCCUGUGAGGGUUGCUGGAGGUAUCAGAAGUGCGAAUGCUGACAUAAGUAACGAUAAAGCGGGUGAAAAGCCCGCUCGCCGGAAGACCAAGGGUUCCUGUCCAACGUUAAUCGGGGCAGGGUGAGUCGACCCCUAAGGCGAGGCCGAAAGGCGUAGUCGAUGGGAAACGGGUUAAUAUUCCCGUACUUGGUGUUACUGCGAAGGGGGGACGGAGAAGGCUAUGUUGGCCGGGCGACGGUUGUCCCGGUUUAAGCGUGUAGGU